UGGACCACUGAUGAUGAAAACUGCCGGCGUUUGAGUCUUGGAUGAUGAAUAAUAUGUGUCUGGAACUCUGAGGUCCAA